CUUUAGUAAGUAUUUUUGGUACAUUUGCCUUCCAAGCAAAAAGACUAGGUAACAUAGACUAAAGA
rnacentral:tRNA from 1 species